rnacentral:rRNA from 1 species
AACGAACGCUGGCGGCAUGCCUAACACAUGCAAGUCGAACGAGACCUUCGGGUCUAGUGGCGCACGGGUGCGUAACGCGUGGGAACCUGCCCUUAGGUUCGGAAUAACUCCCCGAAAGGGGUGCUAAUACCGGAUAAUGUCUUCGGACCAAAGAUUUAUCGCCUUUGGAUGGGCCCGCGUUGGAUUAGCUAGUUGGUAGGGUAAAAGCCUACCAAGGCGACGAUCCAUAGCUGGUCUGAGAGGAUGAUCAGCCACACUGGGACUGAGACACGGCCCAGACUCCUACGGGAAGCAGCAGUGGGGAAUAUUGGACAAUGGGCGAAAGCCUGAUCCAGCAAUGCCGCGUGAGUGAUGAAGGCCUUAGGGUUGUAAAGCUCUUUUACCCGGGAUGAUAAUGACAGUACCGGGAGAAUAAGCCCCGGCUAACUCCGUG